GGGAGGGGGUGACUAGUGACAGAGUGAGGGAGCGGGUGACACAGUGACAGAGUUAGGGAGGGAGUGACUAGUGACAGAGAGAGGGAUGGGGUGACUAGUGACAGUCACCCCCUCCCUCUGUCACUAGUCACUCCCUCCCUCUGUUACUAGUCACUCAGUCACACUCCCUCACUCUGUCACCAGUCAUCCCCUCACUCUGUCACCAGUCACCCCUUCCCUCCCUCACUCUGCCACUAGUCAUCUUUUCCCUCCC